rnacentral:rRNA from 1 species
UACGUAGGGUGCAAGCGUUGUCCGGAAUUAUUGGGCGUAAAGAGCUCGUAGGCGGUCUGUCGCGUCGGCUGUGAAAACUCGGGGCUCAACUCCGAGCUUGCAGUCGAUACGGGCAGGCUAGAGUUCGGCAGGGGAGACUGGAAUUCCUGGUGUAGCGGUGAAAUGCGCAGAUAUCAGGAGGAACACCGGUGGCGAAGGCGGCUUUCUGGGCCUUACCUGACGCUGAGGAGCGAAAGCUGGGGGAGCGAACAGGAUUAGAUACCCCU